rnacentral:rRNA from 1 species
AACGAACGCUGGCGGCAGGCCUAACACAUGCAAGUCGAACGCUCCGCAAGGGGAGUGGCGCACGGGUGAGUAACACGUGGGAACCUACCUUCUGGUACGGAACAACCAAGGGAAACUUUGGCUAAGACCGUAUACGACCUCCGGGUGAAAGAUUGAUCGCCGGAAGAGGGGCCCGCGUCCGAUUAGGUAGUUGGUGAGGUAACGGCUCACCAAGCCUUCGAUCGGUAGCUGGUCUGAGAGGAUGACCAGCCACACUGGGACUGAGACACGGCCCAGACUCCUACGGAGGCAGCAGUGGGGAAUAUUGGACAAUGGGCGCAAGCCUGAUCCAGCCAUGCCGCGUGAGUGAUGAAGGCCUU